rnacentral:rRNA from 1 species
AGAAACAUGGUCUUUUGUUUAUAUAAAAGAUUUGACCUGCCCUAUGAUUUAUUUUAAAUGGCUGCAGUAUUUUGACUGUACAAAGGUAGCAUAAUCAUUUGUCUUUUAAUUGGAGGCUGGUAUGAAUGGUUGGAUGAGGGAUAGACUUUCUUUAUUUUAUAUAAAAAAUUUAAUUUUUUAGUCAAAAAGCUAAAAUGAUUUUAUAGGACGAGAAGACCCUAUAGAACUUUAUUUUCUUUUUAUAUAUUUUUUAUAGAUUUUUAAAAGAUUAUAUUUUUAUGUUAAUUUUGUUGGGGUGAUUGAAAAAAAUGAAUAACUUUUUCUAUUUUUUACAUUUAUAUAUGUUAUUUUGAUCCUUUAUUAUGGAUAAUAAGAUUAAGUUACCUUAGGGAUAACAGCGUUAUUUUUUUGGAGAGUUCUUAUCGAUAAAAAAGUUUGCGACCUCGAUGUUGGAUUAAAAUAAGUGUCAGGGGUAGAAUAUUGUUCACUAGGUCUGUUCGACCUUUAAAUUUUUACAUGAU